GAAGAUGUGAUUGUAUAUAUCAUAUGUGUUACACACAUGUCCUUUAUAUAAGAUUACAAAAUCAGUUAUAAGUAAACCAAAGGUCUAGUUAGUGAAAAGCCAAAGGUUUGGCUAGUGAAAAGCCAAAGGACAUCCACAUAAAUAUAUUAUUUAUAACACUCCCCCUUGGAUGUCCGUCAAACGAAAUAAUGUCUCGUUAUAGCCUUCUUGGAAAAACCCUGUGGGAUAAAAACCAAGCGAAGGAACAAAAAUAUCUAUUUCAUAAUGUGCACGUGAUGCUGCCUCGUUAAAAACCUUUCCAGGAAAACCCAGUGGGAAAAACCAUGGAUAAGGAAAAAAGAGUGCAG
rnacentral:lncRNA from 1 species